rnacentral:rRNA from 1 species
AUGCAGGGGGUGCGAGCGUUAAUCGGAAUUACUGGGCGUAAAGAGUACGUAGGCGGUUGCUUAAGUCAGAUGUGAAAGCCCCGGGCUCAACCUGGGAACUGCAUUUGAAACUGAGUGACUAGAGUUUAAGAGAGGGGAGUAGAAUUCCGGGUGUAGCGGUGAAAUGCGUAGAGAUCCGGAGGAAUACCAGUGGCGAAGGCGGCUCCCUGGCUUAAAACUGACGCUGAGGUACGAAAGCGUGGGUAGCAAACAGGAUUAGAAACCCUAGUAGUCC